UUAGUUUUGGAAUAGUAUUAGUGACAAAAAGGCUAGAAUUCAUUUCCGGAUAUUGGUAUGAAAGACUAGAAUUUACCACACUACCAUGAAUUCUGUGCUGAAGCCAGCUGAAUUAGUCUUUAUGGCUGCUACAGCAAGGAGCCCCAAAGCUCAUGGCUUACAAGCCCACAAAUAUAUUAUCUUAUAGUUCUGAAAGUCUGACCUCAGUUUCACUGGACUAAAAUUAAAGUGUGCUUAUGGUUGUGUCCCCUUCUGGAGCUAUUUGGAGAAAAGAUUUCUCAUCUGCCCCAGUUCUUAGAAGAAGUUUACAUUCCCAGGCCUGCUCAUUCACCUUCAAAUCCAGCUGCACAGAUGCUGGCUCCCUGGGACUGCAACCCUGAUCGUCUCUUCCGUUCAUGCAUGCAUUUGUGUAGUUAUGAAUGUUAAUCAUUGGUUCCUGUGUUUUCCGGGGCCAUGUGUGGAAUCCAGGUGUACCCUCCCAUCUCCAGAUCUGUGAUUGAUUCAUCCAGUUUUGAGAAGUCUCUUUGCUAUGUAAGGCUAUCUACAAAAUGGUUUCCUCUGUCAUGAAAAUGCCUGAAGAUGAAUCAACCCCAGAAAAAAGGACAGAGAAGAUCUUCUGCCAGAUGGACACCAAUAGAGAUGGAAAACUCUCCCUGGAAGAAUUCAUCCGAGGGGCCAAAAGAGAUCCAUCCAUAGUGCGUCUCCUGCAGUGUGACCCCAGCAGCGCCGGCCAGUUCUGAGCCCCGCACCCUAAGGACGCUACAGCUGCCUGGGUCUCUCCCAGUUGGCUUUUAAACUUAUUUUAUUUGUAUUUUUUUGCCAAACAAUAUUGAUGGUGAAGCUGUCCCCUCUUCAGUCAGACGCGCUCUGC